CAGGAAGCACUGAGAGCGUGGUGUGCUCUGAUGAACAUCAGAGGUGCCACACUGAGGACAGGUCCAAGCCCAGAGCUUCCAAACCGGUGGGAAAUGUCUCAGGGCUCAGACUGGGAUUGGUGCCAAUGGAAAAAAGCCAGCCCUGGGAGAGGAGGGUGCCAGCAGGACAGGGGGUGUUUUUAGGGCACAGGAGGCACCUCCAAAGUGUCACCCCUCACCCAGAGACAAGUCUUUAAAAAAAAAAUUACUGGAAUAAAAAGGAAAGCACCAAGUAAUUGAAAAGAGCUGCUAGAAACAGAAAGGAAGGAAAGUUAUAAUGAUUGAAAAGUUCAAUAAAAUCGGAGGAAAGCAGGAAAAAAUUCCAAUUUUUAAUGGAAUGGAUGGUGAGGUGUCACUGGUACAUGGCAGCAGAUCCCUGGAAGCUAAACCUUUUCAUCUGGAGCUUUCAAAGCCUAACCAAGAAAAUGUUGAAACCAAUAAAACUGUUUGUGGGGGGAAAAGUUUUCUGAAGAAAGCAAGCGCAAAUGAUGUUUUACCAAAAGCUCCAGGCAGAAAAUGGGAGGCUGGAGUUGAAAAGCUCUUGCAGAUGAAUCUCGAACGAUCUAUUCUCACCAUCAUAAUGAGCACAUACAUGAUUAAUGAAAAUAUUUAUCCUCAUAACCCACUGCAGCGAGUUAAUAUUUAAUCCAAAGUCCACGCGAAAGCCCAACCUCUGCGGCUCCUCACCUAGCUUCUUGUUUCCUUGGAAAUCUCUGAACUCUGCCAGCUGACCUGAGAUUUGGCUCUCUGGGGCUGGCUUUUCCUGGCUUUCUGCAUAAGUCCCACACCUUUUGAUCCCGAAAGCGCCGCCACUUGGGACCUACAAGGUUUCUCAGAUAAUCCCGUGGAGCCGCUGCUUUGUGACGCGCCUCACUUUGAUAUUCAAGGCAAAGCCGGACAGCCCACACAUGAAAAGACAUCCUUCCCUUUCUUCCCAGGCUUAAUUUCAUCUGCAAAUUAAACAUAUCGAGACAGAUAUUUAUAGAGGAAUGCCCUGAUCCUCCUGGGAGGGCUGCGCAGUCUGCGAUGUGUAAUUUUGCUUUAGGAAUAUGAUUUUAAUCUUGACUUUUUUCUGAGGCUGGUGGCAGGAGAGGAGAAGGGCAGGUGGGAGUCUCCUCUGUUCCCCCACAGUUUGAGCCCUGGGCUGAUGCAGUGGCUGGAUGCACACAGAGGGGUCCAGGCUCUGUCCUUGUCCUCUGCAAAGCUGUUUCAAGACAUGGGCCUUUAAAAGGUGACAGUUUUUACUUCUGAAAGAACUGUGCCUGUAAACUUUGCCAGCAGGAGCUUUCAGCUGUGACUUACAAAAAAAACCCAACCCAAACCAAAGCAAGCUGCUUUAAAAAUGGUGCACAGCUUGAAAUAACUGCUCAGCCCUGAUGAGCCCAAGCUCUCACAGAGUCACCCAUCCCCCUGUACCCCUCUCCUCCAUUCCACCUUUUCACUGUGGGCAACCCCCCGCACUAAAAAAAAAACCCACAAAAAAAGGGGAAGUUUUGGCUUACGUCAUUUAUAGAUAUGCCCAAGAGCAGAGGAUAAAGAACUUCUAUUUUGUUUUCCAGUUAAAUAUUUUCACUUUAUCUUCUUGUUAAGGAGAAAUUCAGUGUUAGUCUUUUACCCAGCAUCACUCAUUUAAGCAUCCUCCUGAUGGGAAGAGUUCAGGGGAGGGAAACUGGCAGGAAAAAUGGUUUCAGUAGUAAUAAUAAGGGAGACUUCGGAAUUUUUUUUUAAUUUUUGCAUUUCUGCAUGCUAUGAAGUAUGUCUUUAAGCUUCAGUAAACUUUUGGAAUCCCUGGGAAGCUGGUAAUGUGCCUUUGAAGGAAGUAUGACUUAUGAAAUUGCAGUUUUUAGCUUAGCUGGGUAAUGUUAAUGAGGAAAUAUCAUGGGCUGCGGGUGGAAGUCUCCUGAAUCCCAUAAGUUAGGAAUAAAUUAUUCUGUUUUCCUAAAUGAAUCA
rnacentral:lncRNA from 1 species